rnacentral:rRNA from 1 species
GCCUAACACAUGCAAGUCGAACGAAGAGGCUCCUUCGGGAGUACUUCAGUGGCGGACGGGUGAGUAACACGUAGGUGACCUGCCCCGAAGUGUGGAAUAACAGUCCGAAAGGAUUGCUAAUACCGCAUGUGGUCUGUGAGGUUAGAGUCUUGCAGACUAAAGCAGCAAUGUGCUUCGGGAGGGGCCUGCGCCCCAUCAGCUAGUUGGUAGGGUAAUGGCCUACCAAGGCAACAACGGGUAGGGGGCCUGAGAGGGUGACCCCCCACAUUGGCACUGACACACGGGCCAAACUCCUACGGGAGGCAGCAGUGAGGAAUAUUGCUCAAUGGGCGAAAGCCUGAAGCAGCAACGCCGCGUGCGCGAUGAAGGCCUUCGGGUCGUAAAGCGCUUUUGAGAGGGACGAGAUAGGACGGUACCUCUGGAAUAAGUCACGGCUAACUACGUGCCAGCAGCCGCGGUAAAACGUAGGUGGCAAGCGUUAUCCGGAUUCACUGGGCGUAAAGCGCGUGCAGGUGGCCUCGUAAGUUGGACGUUAAAUCUCCCGGCCUAACCGGGAGGGGUCGUUCAAUACUGCGGGGCUGGAGGGCAGAAGAGGGGGGUGGAAUUGCUGGUGUAGUGGUGAAAUGCGUAGAUAUCAGCAGGAACACCUGUGGCGAAAGCGGCCCCCUGGUCUGCUCCUGACACUCAGACGCGAAAGCUAGGGGAGUGAACGGGAUUAGAAACCCCCG